GACGAACGCUGGCGGCGUGCUUAACACAUGCAAGUCGAACGGAAAGACCCUGCUUUUGUGGGGUGCUCGAGUGGCGAACGGGUGAGUAACACGUGAGUAACCUACCCUUGACUUUGGGAUAACUUCAGGAAACUGGGGCUAAUACCGGAUAGGAGCUCCUGCUGCAUGGUGGGGGUUGGAAAGUUUCGGCGGUUGGGGAUGGACUGGCGGCUUAUCAGCUUGUUGGUGGGGUAGUGGCUUACCAAGGCUUUGACGGGUAGCCGGCCUGAGAGGGUGACCGGCCCCAUUGGGACUGAGAUACGGCCCAGACUCCUACGGGAGGCAGCAGUGGGGAAUAUUGCACAAUGGGCGGAAGCCUGAUGCAGCAACGCCGCGUGCGGGAUGACGGCCUUCGGGUUGUAAACCGCUUUCGCCUGUGACGAAGCGUGAGUGACGGUAAUGGGUAAAGAAGCACCGGCUAACUACGUG
rnacentral:rRNA from 1 species